UUUCCAAAAGCUGCCAGAUGUCAGCCGUUUUAAUUUCCAUCUUCAAUCCACACCAUCUACCAUUCUAUUAUCUCCCUUCAAAUUCCUACUACAUAAGCACACCAACCGGUCAAAGACUUGGAGUCUAAAGAGAACAACAGUGAUUGUACAAUUUGUCAUCUCCUAUCCUCCUCCAUCUACUAUUCUGCUUCAAGGCACUCAUAUCUCCUUCUCUAUCAUCUCAGGUUUUUUCUUUUCUGUAAUUUGUUGUUUUCUUUCGCUGAUAUUUUUAGAAUUCACACUAUUGUUUGGCUUGUUUCCAUCAGUUCUUGUUUUCUUUCUUAUUUUGAUUAACUUGUGGAGGAAUUCUCGACCUGGAAUUCCAUUUACAUAAACAAUUUAUGGUCUCCACCGAAAUCCCAUAACUAUUGUGUUCUAUGUACAUGUCUUUCUGAAAGAAGGAAAAGAAAGAAACGCAUUUUCUUUUGUCUGUUGCGUAGGUAGUUUUUAACCAAAAUGGAGGAAGCUUCAAAUGGGAAAAAUGAGACCAAAAUUGUGGAACGACAGGAAGUUAUUGAGGAAGUUGAGGUGGUCGAUUCAGGGGAUAAAUUUUUGAAAGAAGUUGUUAUUGAUAGUACUGCUGAGUCUGUGAAAGAAACUAUUGAUGAGAAUAAUUCGAGUUUAGAGGGCAGCAAUAGUUCGAAGGAAGAGGCAAAGGCUAAAGAGAAAACAGUUCAAGUGGAGGAUUCAGAGAUACUGGAAGUGGCGGACAAAGAGGUGAUUAAUUUAGCUGUUGGGUCGACCGAGUCUGUGGAGGAAAAAUUGGCUGAAACUAUUGAAGCAUUGGUGGAGAAAUAUGAGAACUCUGAUGUGGCUGAAGUAGAAGUGAAAGAAACCAAAGAGAAGGUUUCGGUGCCUUUGAACGAAACUGGUGUCUUUCCUUCAGUUGUCACGGAUCAGAAUGAUGCGGAAGUACCUGAAGUGGUAUUGAAUGCAACAGAUGGAUCUUCUCUUGCUGUAACAGAUGAAGUGUCCAAGGGAAUUGAGGAGAACGUGUUGCAAUCUCUUGAUGAAAACAACGUGGCUCCUCCAGCUUUGACAGAGGCAGUGUCAAAGGGGAUCGAGGACGAGAAGCUGGCAGCUUUGAAGGAAAAUACUGGGGAAUCAUCUGGCAAUGUUGACAAUGAAACUGUGGAAAGUUUCGAAUCUACUACUGUAGUUGGAAGCAGCGAUGCUUUUCCUGAAAGCACAGGAGAUCCGCCUAUCAUAUCCCUUCAACAGCGUAACCUGUGUCCAUCUUGGAGGAACUGCUGUGGCCUUUUUGAAGCUCUGAGGCGAUCCAAUAGAUAAAUUAAUAGGGGACAAUUUGAACUUAUUCGAGGGCAAACGUAUUUUGUAAGCUCCUGUAAUGCGAUAAAGAGCAUCGUCACGGAGUGCUGUUAAGAGAGAUCGACAAAAAUUUGAGACCUGUGCUGUGGUUUCUUUCUUGUGUCACAAAUCGAAUGUAACCGGAUCUUGCAGGGGAUGGGGAUGAAAACUUGCCGGUUAGCCUACAGCUCAUUGGCAAUUGUGUGUGGUGUGCUCCUCCUCCUCCCCCUCCCCCUCCUCCUCCUCCUCCUCCUCGUCGUCGUCUGUUUAUUUUAUUUCUUGUUUUUUCAAGGUAUUCUGAUUGUAUUAGAGUGAUUUGUAAUUAAGUUUGAUGGCAAAAAUGCCAUACUUUCGAGUGUAUAUUUAUAAAACAUAAUUUAUUGAUCAAUGAGAAAAGUGGUACAUUGACGAA